UUUUUUUUUUUUUUUUACUUUAAUACUCUAUGAUUUAAAGUAUAUCAUUUUAGUAUUUUGUAUUUUAUUUUAUUUUUUUCUAUUAGUAUCUCUAUUAAUUUUCUGUUAAAUCAUAUAAAAAAAAACUUCAAAUACUCUACCUAUGGUUUAUCAAACAUUUUACUUUAGUACCCUAUCGUUUAUCGAGUUUUACUGUAGUACCUUAUAGUUUUAAUUUUCUUACUGAUUUACCUCGUAUCCGAGACUCAAGUUCGAAUCCUAGUUGAUUCACAUUUCUUGCUAAGUUUAUUUCUAAAUGAAAUAAACAAAGCGGGUAGCGUGCUACUUAUUUCUCAAAAAAAAAAAAAACUUUUUCGUUUUUGGCUGAGACACUCUAAACUUCUAAUUUUUUUAAUUU
rnacentral:lncRNA from 1 species